ACGAGUUUGAUCAUGGCUCAGGAUGAACGCUAGCGGGAGGCCUAAUACAUGCAAGUCGAGCGGUAGAGUGACUUCGGUUGCUUGAGAGCGGCGAACGGGUGAGUAACGCGUACACAAUCUACCUUUAAGAGGGGAAUAGCCCUGGGAAACUGGGAUUAAUGCCCCAUGGCAUCACGAGACGGCAUCGUUUUGUGAUUAAAGCUGAGGUGCUUAGAGAUGAGUGUGCGUCUGAUUAGCUAGUUGGUGCGGUAACGGCGCACCAAGGCGACGAUCAGUAGGGGGCGUGAGAGCGUGGACCCCCACACGGGUACUGAGACACGGACCCGACUCCUACGGGAGGCAGCAGUAAGGAAUAUUGGUCGAUGGAGGAAACUCUGAACCAGCCAUCCCGCGUGCAGGAAGAAUACCCUAUGGGUUGUAAACUGCUUUUAUCUGGGAAGAAAAGUCGGGAUUUAUCCUGAUCUGACGGUACCAGAGGAAUAAGCACCGGCUAACUCCGUG
rnacentral:rRNA from 1 species